UACAGAGGUCCCAAGCGUUGUCCGGAUUUAUUGGGCGUAAGGAGCUCGUAGGCGGCUCGGUAAGUCGGAUGUGAAACCUCCAGGCUCAACCUGGAGACGCCAUCUGAUACUGCCGUGGCUUGAGUCCGGUAGAGGAGCAGGGAAUUCCUGGUGUAGCGGUGAAAUGCGCAGAUAUCAGGAGGAACACCGGUGGCGAAGGCGGCUUUCUGGGCCUUACCUGACGCUGAGGAGCGAAAGCUGGGGGAGCAAACAGG
rnacentral:rRNA from 1 species